AUGUUACGAGCUUCUGGAAUACAAUGGGAUCUUCGUAAAGUAGAUCCUUAUGAGUCUUACAACCAAUUUGAUUGGAAAGUCCAGUGGCAAAAAGAAGGGGAUUCGUUAGCUCGCUAUUUAGUACGAAUUAGUGAAAUGAGGGAAUCCAUCAAAAUAAUUCAACAAGCUGUAGAAAAAAUUCCUGGAGGACCUUAUGAGAAUUUAGAAGUCUGACGCUUUAAGAAAGAAAAUAAUUCUGAACGGAAUGAUUUUGAGUAUAAAUUUAUUGGUAAAAAACCUGUGCGGUGGUCCUUGCCUUCGGGUGGGCCCUCGGUCGCCACGACGGUGGCCUUCAUCUUCGCCCAGUGCAUCUUGACACGGGCAAAGGCCAUCCGUGCACCCUCUAUGCACGCCGAGCACUUUGCAGCUUCAACUCGGGGCAGUGCGUCGGCGAGUCGCAUCACCGGGCCGAAGUAG
rnacentral:rRNA from 1 species